CCGCCUCCGGCCGCAGGAAAUCUCGCGAUGGAGGGAGGCGGCGGUGAACCCCCAGAAGUACAUGAAGAAAGUAAGUCAGGAUGUGGGCUGCCUGCAGGUCUUGGAACCAGCGGUUUGAAGAAAAGCAGUUGGGGGCUCCUACUUCCCGGGAUUGUUGGUGGGACCCUGGUGGCCGUGUACGCCGUGGCCACCCCGUUUCUAACACCAGCCCUCCGAAAAAUUUGUUUGCCGUUCGUACCCGCAACCGCAAAGCAGAUUGAAAACGUUGUGAAAAUGUUACAUUGCCGGAGAGGAUCCCUGGUCGACAUUGGCAGCGGCGACGGACGUGUUGUGAUAGCAGCUGCAAAAGAAGGAUUCACCGCUGUUGGUUACGAACUAAACCCUUGGCUAGUUUGGUACUCGAGGUACCGUGCUCGGCGAGAAGGUGUGCAGGGCUCUGCCAGAUUUUAUGUCGCCAAUUUAUGGAAGGUUACUUUUUCUCAGUACACAAACGUCGUUGUUUUCGGUGUGCCUCAGAUGAUGCCGCACUUGGAGGAGAAACUUGAGCUUGAACUGAAGGAUGACGCCAGGGUCAUCGCUUGCCGGUUCCCUUUCCCUCGGUGGACCCCAGACCGCGUCACCGGGGAGGGGGCAGACACCGUGUGGGCGUACGACCUGAGCACGCUUCGAGGCAGGAGGCCCUGAAGACCGUGCGGUCGGCCGUGCGAACGUAGACCUUACGGAGAGCGGUUUCCGAAGUGACCAUGUGUUCGGUUUGUGGAGACUUACAACGAGUCUUCAGCAAAGAGUCUGUUGUUCUUCAGUGUGGAAUGAAAAACUGUUACUCUCCUUCACUUUUGGAAAACAAACAGAAGUUAAGAACAGCAGUUGGUGGUGGUUCGUGCCUGUGGUUGGCAGCCUUGCACAUCACGACGUGCUUGCAGCCACCACCGAUGGGGUCUCAGAUGUGAUGAGCCGUGCGCAGGCGACGCCCGAGGGAGCGGAGUUGGCGGUGAUCACAGGAGCCGUCGCGAGCGUGGACGCCGCCACGCCCGGGAUCUCGGUCCUGCUCGGUUACCAGCCGUGCGCCGGUCACGUGACCUCCUGGCGCCUCACUUUCCCGCGUGCCCUGGGCAGCUGUUGGGAUGAUGGUACAUGACCAGGGGAGUCUUUUGUUUUUUUUUUGUAAAACUCAUGACCCCAAGUCUUUGGUCUGUAAGUGGUGUUUAUUAUCUUAGAUACUAAAAAAAGGUUUACUCACAGAAGUUACAGAUUAUUUCUGCUAGUCACAUUUUUAUCUUAUGAAAGUAGCCAUUGGUUUAGCAUUCUCAUUUAUAAGAAGAGACCUGACUGAUUGAGGUAAAGACCAGUUAAAGAAAACCUUUGAAUGUGAAUAGACAGGCUUCAUGUAUCUGAAAAAUUAAUAUAUUAAAUGGUGGCUCGAAUAAUC